rnacentral:lncRNA from 10 species
GGCCAUGGCAGCGUGGGGUUGGGGAGGCUGACACCUGUCCCAUGUUUAUGUGGAGCGGGGGCCAGCCCACUUUCUCUGCAAGGGCCAGAUGGUGAACAUCGUGGGCUCUGUGGGUCUCUGUCACAGCCGACAAUUCAACUCUGCCACUGUAGUGUGAACACAGCCAUAGGUGAUAUAUAAAGAAAUGGACGUGGCUGUGUGCCAAUAAAGCUUUAUUUACAAAAACCAGGUGGUGGGUUAAAUUUGGCCCUUGGGCCAUAGUUUGCUGACUUUUGAUGUAGAGGGGUUUGGGGAAAACUUUGGCUGAAUUUUAUUUUUUGGAGUAGUUUGAUUCUUGAGAUUUUCAUUAUCAAGCUAAGUCACCAGUAUGACACAACUCGAUGCCUAGGAAUGGCGACUUCUUUGAUGAGUGUCUCUUCCAGGAGAGCCACCCAAGAAGGAGAGUUGCAUUCACUGUGUCUUCAGUGACCAGGUCUUGCUUACAGAUUGAGGGAAAGCCUUCGCCGUGCCAGGAACUGGGACUUCUUUCCCGAACUGGAGUGUGCGAGUACUGCAGUGGCCUGACAGCCAGUGGUUUCUGGAAGUGAAACAGAACAGAGCUCCUGCAGAGGAAUUUCUGAUUCUACUUUUCCUCCAGGUCCGACAGAGCAGAGAAAGCCAGUAAACAUUUGCCAGGUACAUGGUGGGGCUGGCGAACAUUGUUGGCUAAUUCACGUUUUUAUUCGAACACAGAUGGCUGGGCCCCUAGGAAACCUGGAUGUUGUUUCCCUGUUAGUCUGAGUUCAGAAAUACUCCCAUGUCACCAACUCUGUCUUUGUUCUUAUUAUAAAAUUAUUACUAAUGAGAGCGGCCAUUUAUGAAGUCAGUUCUCUGAGCCAGGCGCUGGGCGAGGCACUUUGCAUUCAUCUCAGUCUUGACAACAGUCCGGUGGAGGUAGGAGGUCUUGACCCCGUUGACAGUGAGGAGUGGAGACUUACCAGGUGACACAAGUGCUGUUCAUCAAACAGCUGUUGAACGAUGAGACUGGGAGUGAGACCAGCUUUGUUCACCUACGAAAUCUAUGCCUUCCACAAAGCCAUUUCCACUGGGAUCUGAGAGGUGCCUCCGGUACCACUGUAUAGUGAGCCCCAUGGCCUAGGUUUCCACUGGGAAGACCCCAGCUCCAGCCCUCCUUCCUUUCCUGUCUGGGUCCUUCCCAAGCUCUGCAAGAGGAUGUGCAGGGUCAGCUGUGCAGAGUGUGUGGUGGAUCCUCAUCAUGGCUCGAAGCCCAUGUUGAUGUGGACAUCGCCCAGCUGUCCCGAGGUCUCCAGGGCUGAUGUACCUCAUGGGACCCAGUGUGCCAGCCUAAAGAGCUUUGCCCUACCCUGCUGGGCACCUGCCUCACUUCUCCAUGACACCUCACUUCUCCAUGGUGCCUCCCUACUCCUCACCCCAGCAUCCUUCUGUCUGUGCCCAGGGCCACCCAUGUGUGCUCCUUACAAGGUGCCCUUACCACACAGAGGCAGCUAUGUGUUUCCUCCCCAGCCAGACCAUGAACGCCGUAUGUCUGGGAUCUGGGUAUCUGUCUCUGGGAAUCCCCCGUGCCUAGCAUGGUGCCUGAUGCACAGUAGGCUCUCAGCCUGUGUUUGGUGACUGCACAAAUAGAUGUGUGAACUUACAUGAGCUCUCGCGUGACAUGAUUUAAUGUCAUUCUUAUAACAACUCUGAAGUGGGCAGAGUGUGUAUGACUGUCCUCCCUUACACAAGAGAAAACAGGGCCCCUUCCGUGGGGCUGGCUGAGGACCCGAUGGUGGGCCAUAGACCAAAGUCAUGGUACCGGUGAUUGCAUUCCUCCACAGAGCUUGCAGCACAUCUGAGCACUGAUUUAGGUCUUGGACCCAGCAGUGUGCAUCAUUCUUUAACCUUUACAAGACUGUAGAAGGCUGGUCUUACCUUAUUCCCAUUUUAUGAAGAAACCAAGGCACAGAGAAGCUGAAUAUUUUGCCCUGGUCCUGUGCUCCCUGAAGCUAAUGCCCAAAUGGGAACCCUACGCGAGGGCACAGUCUCAGCCACGCGGCCCCAGGCGGCAGUGAGAAUGAAGAGAAACGCCUGGUAUGUGCUAGGCUGGGGCCUGGAGGCCCCUUCCCUGGCUUCUCCCAACCAAGAGCGCCUGUUUCUCAACACCUGCCAGGGACCGGGUUGCUGGCAGAGGGCAUGGCCAGUGUUGUGACCUUGGAGAUGGAGAAAGGAAACCAGUGCUGGGUGCCUUCCUCCCUAGCAUCCCCGGGAGCCCUGGUCCUUCUCAGAGUGGCCGCAGGAAGCCUGGUGUGGUUCUGGAUGAGGUCUGGGAGAGGGCGAUGAAGGAGGAAGAAAUGGCAUCCCGGUGAGUCCUUUCCUGCUCCUUUAAGGCUUAUGGAGAAAGGAAAUUCAUGUGGUGGCGAGGACGAGCUGACGUGGAAAGAUUGCUGGCUUCCAAGCAGGAGGCUGUGGUUUCAGACUCUCUGAUUUUGUGGCCUUGGGCUUGUUUCUGAACCUCUUUGAGGCGCAGUUGAGUUAUUUGCAAAUCAGGGAUACAAGUACAUGCCCUGCAGGUCAUCUCUGACGCAUUCUUAAUUCCAGGCUUUGAGGAUGCUUUGGUGGCCUCAUUCACUGGGACUUACUAGCGGGCAGAGGUUGUGAUUAUAACGGAGGCCUACAAUGCACGGGGUGUUUCAUCCUCACCACCGCCUGGGAGGUGGCCAUGGGUAUUUCCAUUUUACAAGUGAGGAAAACUGAGAUCCCAAAACAUAAGGGGUGUGCUUAAGGCCAUACGGAUCUAAGUGGCAGAACUGGACUCCGGGCCCAGCCACGCCACGGGCCACCUUCUCUCGGCCUGGCCGCCGCUCACCCCAAUGCAGCAUGUCCUGUGCCCGACUGGACUGGCCAAUUCCAAAUAUGCUUUGAAAAGAUUUAUUAGACACAUCAGGAGUUUUCAUCAGCUGGAUUUUUUUUUUCCUUUCUGGGUUGUUAUUAUUUUGCAUCAGGAAAAAAAGGAAAAGAAUUUAAUUCAUCCUUAAAUGCUGGGAAGAAAGAAUGCAACAACAAAAAAACACCACUGCCAGGGAACAGCAUGAAGCCAGAGGGUGAGGAGGGUGAGGCCUGACAGAGUCCACCGGGCGGGGAUGCAGAAAAAGUCUUGCCAUUGGCGGCUGUUCCCUGGGGGUUCACGAGGCCCUCUUCACGGACCUUCUUGGCUGGCGCAUGAGUUCUCUGGCCAGCUGGCCACUUGGUAAGUGUCCACAGGCAAUGCUUGCUGUAAGGAAAAUUAGAGGCACCCAACUCUGAGUUUAGAGGGUGCUAUGGCUAGAAUGUUUGUGUCUCUCCAAAAUUCAUGUUGAAACUUAAUCCCCAAUGCAAUAGUCUUACGAGAUGGGGCCUUUAGAAAGUGAUUAGGUCCUCAGGGCUCCACUCUCACGAAUGGCAUCAGUACCCUUAUGAAACGGCUCCAGGGAGCCUGAUUGUCUCUUCCGCCCCUUCGUCCGUGAGGACCUGGGACAAGCGCCACCUCGGAAGCAGAGAGCAAGCCCCUCCAGAUGCUGCCUCUGCCAGUGCCUUCAUCUUGGACUUUGCAGUCUCCAGAAUGGUGAUAAAUAAAUACCAAUGAUUUAGAAAUCACCCAUCCCAAGAUGUUUUGUUACAGCAGUAGGAACGGAUUAAGACAGGGGACCAUGUGGUGUUUGUGUGACAAAAUGUUUCUGGUUCUCAACUGGAACAACUGCUGGGCACCGAAGGCCCAGGAGGGAGGCAGGCAGUGGGGUGAGUGCUGCUCCCCACACCAGCCCUUAGGACAGAGGUAAGCAAGGGCGGUGCCUGCACCUUCCAUUUUUCUUACGUAUAAUUAAGGGUCCCAGUCCCUGCCUCAGGGAAAAUAGAGAAGAGAAGAGCCUGUCUCCGCACACAGUGGUUUAUAUGUAAAUGUGUGUCUAAGGCCGUGGUCCUCACCAGCUUUCUACCUGGGGCCGGGCCACAUAAGCAUUCUGAGCACAUGUGUUGAGCUUAUUUGUGAAGAAAGGAAGUUGGCUUGUAUAUGGGCAUCCCACAGCCCUGUCUGGUUUUAUGAUUUCAUGCCCUAUGCAUGUGCACGUCAUUAGAUAUUUGACCAAGGGGCGCAGCAGAGGGACACUGACCACUAAAAGUGCAUCGUCACAGAGGCUUCCCAAAUUCCGCCUGUGUUCAUGCCCAGCCCCGUCACUUCCCUCUGUUUACUGGGCCAUGCCUGCUGCCUUGGCGUCUGCCUCCCCAUGUCCAGGAGCUCCCUGUGGGCAGGAAGCUGUGUAUGGCUCCUGUGAUCGUACCGAAGAAUUCAGAGUCAUUGCUACACUAAGGACAGCCACGUGCCCACCCAAUGGCAACCGGGGCAUAAAACUGCCCAGCAGGGAUCAGCACAGAACACUGAUGUGCACGAGGGGUGCUGGAGAAACCCGCUCGCCCUCCACGUGGAACCCAGGGCACAGUGUGAG